rnacentral:rRNA from 1 species
UAGUACCGUGAGGGAAAGGUGAAAAGAACCCCGGGAGGGGAGUGAAAGAGAACCUGAAACCCUAUGCUUACAAGCAGACGCAGCACCACUUAAGGUGUGGCGUCGUACUUUUUGUAGAACGGGCCGGCGAGUUACGUUGCGUAGCGAGGUUAAGUGAUUAAGUCACGGAGCCGUAGCGAGAGCGAGUCUUAACUGGGCGAUAUAGUUGCGUGACGUAGACCCGAAACCGGAUGACCUAUCCAUGGACAGGUUGAAGCAGUGGUAAGACACUGUGGAGGACCGAACCCACGUUCGUUGAAAAGACCGGGGAUGAGCUGUGGAUAGCGGAGAAAUUCCAAUCGAAUCCGGAUAUAGCUGGUUCUCCUCGAAAUAGCUUUAGGGCUAGCCUCUCGUUAGAGUACUGAAGGUAGAGCACUGAAUGGGCUAGGGGGCUUCACAGCUUACUGAACCUUAUCAAACUUCGAAUGACAGAUACUUGAUGCGAGGGAGUCAGACAGCGUGAGAUAAGUUUCGUUGUCAAAAGGGAAACAGCCCAGAUCUACAACUAAGGUCCCUAAGUACAAGUUAAGUGGUAAAGGAUGUGCCAAUGCUAAAACAACCAGGAUGUUGGCUUAGAAGCAGCCACUCAUUUAAAGAGUGCGUAAUAGCUCACUGGUCGAGUGAGGGUGCGCCGAAGAUUACCGGGGCUAAAACUUGUCACCGAAGUUUAGGGAUGCAGUUUACUGCAUCGGUAGAGGAGCAAUGUAUGCGGGCAGAAGCGAUAUCGUAAGGGGUCGUGGACUGCAUACAAGAGAGAAUGCCGGCAUAAGUAGCGCGAGCAAAGUGAGAAUCUUUGCCGUCGAAUGCCUAAGGUUUCCUGGGGAAGGUUCGUCCUCCCAGGGUAAGUCGGGACCUAAGCCGAGGCCGAAAGGCGUAGGUGAUGGACAACAGGUAGAUAUUCCUGUACCGCCAAAUGACGCUUAAAUGAGGCAAUGACACAGUAGGAUAGUCAAUCCGCGGCGUUGGAUUGCUGCGGCCAAAUCAUGAGGCUGAUGUGUAGUGAAGUACGCACAUCGUCAGGCUGGGUGAUGAUGGGGAGUGAAAACUAGUAACGAAGUUGAUGAAUUCACACUGGCGAGAAAAGUUGCUAAAUAUGUUGUUAGGCGCCCGUACCGCAAACCGACACAGGUGGGCGAGGAGAAAAUCCUAAGACGGACGGGAGAACCCUUGUUAAGGAACUCUGCAAAAUUACCCCGUAACUUCGGGAGAAGGGGAGCCUGCUUUGCAGGUCGCAGUGAAGAGGCCCAAGCGACUGUUUACCAAAAACACAGGUCUCUGCUAAAUCGAAAGAUGAAGUAUAGGGGCUGACGCCUGCCCAGUGCUGGAAGGUUAAGGGGAUGUGUUAGCGCAAGCGAAGCACGGAACUUAAGCCCCAGUGAACGGCGGCCGUAACUAUAACGGUCCUAAGGUAGCGAAAUUCCUUGUCGGGUAAGUUCCGACCCGCACGAAUGGCGUAACGACUUGGGCGCUGUCUCAACAGGGGACCCGGCGAAAUUGUACUAUACGUGAAGAUGCGUAUUACCCGCGACUGGACGGAAAGACCCCGUAGAGCUUUACUGUAGCUUGAUAUUGGAAUUCGGUAAUUUAUGUACAGGAUAGGUGGGAGACUUGGAAACAUGGGCGUCAGCUCAUGCGGAGUCAACCUUGGGAUACCACCCUUGAAUUAUUGGGUUUCUAACACCAGACCGUAAUCCGGCUGGUGGACAGUGUCAGGUGGGCAGUUUGACUGGGGCGGUCGCCUCCCAAAAUGUAACGGAGGCGUUCUAAGGUUCCCUCAGGAUGGUUGGAAAUCAUCCAAAGAGCGUAAAGGUAGAAGGGAGCUUAACUGCGAGACAGACAUGUCGAGCAGAUACGAAAGUAGGACUUAGUGACCCGGCGGUUGAGUAUGGAAUUGCCGUCGAUUAACGGAUAAAAGUUACCUCGGGGAUAACAGGCUUAUCUCCCCCAAGAGUUCACAUCGACGGGGAGGUUUGGCACCUCGAUGUCGGCUCGUCACAUCCUGGGGCUGUAGUCGGUCCCAAGGGUUCGGCUGUUCGCCGAUUAAAGUGGCACGCGAGCUGGGUUCAGAACGUCGUGAGACAGUUCGGUCCCUAUCCAUCGUGGGCGUAGGAUAUUUGAGAGGCUCUGCCCCUAGUACGAGAGGACCGGGGUGGACGUACCUAUGGUGCAUCUGUUGUCACGCCAGUGGCACAGCAGGGUAGCGAUGUACGGAUUGGAUAAACGCUGAAAGCAUCUAAGCGUGAAACCAGCCUCAAGAUAAGAUAUCCCUAAGGAGAAAUCUGAGUAAGGCCCCUUGUAGACCACAAGGUUGAUAGGUCGGGUGUGUAAGCGCAGUAAUGCGUUGAGCUGACCGAUACUAAUAGGCCGAGGGCUUCAAUC